AUUGAACGCUGGCGGCAUGCCUUACACAUGCAAGUCGAACGGCAGCACGGGGGCAACCCUGGUGGCGAGUGGCGAACGGGUGAGUAAUGCAUCGGAACGUGUCCUCUUGUGGGGGAUAACCAGUCGAAAGAUUGGCUAAUACCGCAUGAGAUCGAGAGAUGAAAGCGGGGGACCGCAAGGCCUCGCGCGAGAGGAGCGGCCGAUGCCGGAUUAGCUAGNGGUGGGGUAAAAGCCUACCAAGGCGACGAUCCGUAGCUGGUCUGAGAGGACGACCAGCCACACUGGGACUGAGACACGGCCCAGACUCCUACGGGAGGCAGCAGUGGGGAAUUUGGACAAUGGGCGCAAGCCUGAUCCAGCCAUGCCGCGUGUGUGAAGAAGGCCUCGGUGUAAG
rnacentral:rRNA from 1 species